rnacentral:rRNA from 1 species
AGUCGAGGGGCAGCAUUUCAGUUUGCUUGCAAACUGGAGAUGGCGACCGGCGCACGGGUGAGUAACACGCUAUCCNACCUGCCGAUAACUCGGGGAUAGCCUUUCGAAAGAAAGAUUAAUACCCGAUGGUAUAAUCAGACCGCANGGUCUUAUUAUUAAAGAAUUUCGGUUAUCGAUGGGGAUGCGUUCCAUUAGGCAGUUGGUGAGGUAACGGCUCACCAAACCUUCNAUGGAUAGGGGUUCUGAGAGGAAGGUCCCCCACAUUGGAACUGAGACACGGUCCAANCUNAUACGGGAGGCAGCAGUGAGGAAUAUUGGUCAAUGGGCGCAGGCCUGAACCAGCCAAGUAGCGUGAAGGAUGACUGCCCUAUGGGUUGUAAACUUCUUUUAUAUGGGAAUAAAGUUUUCCACGUGUGGAAUUUUGUAUGUACCAUAUGAAUAAGGAUCGGCUAACUCCGUGCCAGCAGCCGCGGUAAUACGGAGGAUCCGAGCGUUAUCCGGAUUUAUUGGGUUUAAAGGGAGCGUAGGUGGACAGUUAAGUCAGUUGUGAAAGUUUGCGGCUCAACCGUAAAAUUGCAGUUGAUACUGGCUGUCUUGAGUACAGUAGAGGUGGGCGGAAUUCGUGGUGUAGCGGUGAAAUGCUUAGAUAUCACGAAGAACUCCGAUUGCGAAGGCAGCUCACUGGACUGCAACUGACACUGAUGCUCGAAAGUGUGGGUAUCAAACAGGAUUAGAUACCCUGGUAGUCCACACAGUAAACGAUGAAUACUCGCUGUUUGCGAUAUACAGUAAGCGGCCAAGCGAAAGCAUUAAGUAUUCCACCUGGGGAGUACGCCGGCAACGGUGAAACUCAAAGGAAUUGACGGGGGCCCGCACAAGCGGAGGAACAUGUGGUUUAAUUCGAUGAUACGCGAGGAACCUUACCCGGGCUUAAAUUGCAUUUGAAUANUNUGGAAACAGGUUAGCCGCAAGGCAAAUGUGAAGGUGCUGCAUGGUUGUCGUCAGCUCGUGCCGUGAGGUGUCGGCUUAAGUGCCAUAACGAGCGCAACCCUUAUCUUUAGUUACUAACAGGUCAUGCUGAGGACUCUAGAGAGACUGCCGUCGUAAGAUGUGAGGAAGGUGGGGAUGACGUCAAAUCAGCACGGCCCUUACGUCCGGGGCUACACACGUGUUACAAUGGGGGGUACAGAAGGCAGCUACCUGGUGACAGGAUGCUAAUCCCAAAAGCCUCUCUCAGUUCGGAUCGAAGUCUGCAACCCGACUUCGUGAAGCUGGAUUCGCUAGUAAUCGCGCAUCAGCCAUGGCGCGGUGAAUACGUUCCCGGGCCUUGUACACACCGCCCGUCAAGCCAUGAAAGCCGGGGGUACCUGAAGUACGAACCGCAAGAGCUCCUAGG